GAGAAACAUGUUCAGAAAGUUUAAACACAAAUAGAUCUAGGGAAGAUCUAACAAAAACCAAAGGAACCUUAGAUUUAGGGUUUCAAAGAACCCAGAGAAAGUGAGAAACGCUUUGAAAACUCCAGAUCUGGGUUGGAUAGCCCAAGAUCUGACUCGAACGGUCACAACUGGCCACAGAAAAGUCAGGGAUGACUGGAGAACGGCCAUGAACGGAAGCCAAGCAACAGACUUGACGAGUUUCCUUUGAGAUGUGGCUUUGAAAACACAGAAACAAACACCGGUAGUCACAUGUGGCCGUUAUAUGUCUCCAAUGGCCAUGGGAGGCCAUGGAUCAGGGUAGGAAUUAAUAGAUGCGGCUAGGGUUUGAGAGGGUUUCAGAGAGAGUUGAGAGAGAAGAGUAAUCAAAGGGC
rnacentral:lncRNA from 1 species